CAAACCUUGUUGCUCUCCUGUCACCGUCAAAUUAGCUCUAAUGGCCAACCACGCUCUGGUGUGCCACGCCCUCUUCUUCUUGGUAUUGAUACCUCUUCUGGAAUGUCAAGAUACCACCACAUUGUUAGGAGAGGUGGGUGGAGCUGUGACCUUUCAGUGUUCAUCUGACCUCUCAAAUACUCUGAAGUGGUUUUACAUUCAAAGACCUGUCAAUGAGAGCGUCCCUGAGUUCAUCAAUGGCUACCAUUCAACAAAGCCCCUAAAUACAGAGUAUGCAAAUCGAACGUACGUAAACCACACCCAGCGAACCAUGAAAAUGUGGGAUCUGCGCCCGUCAGACGAGGGGUUGUAUGAAUGUCACAUAUCAACAUCCAAGAACAAAGUGAAAAUGCAGCUCCAGGUCACAGCCCACUACAGCAUCCCUAACGUAACAGUAACCAAUGAAAACAACACUUGCUUGGUGACAUGUUCUUCCAGCCAUGGUUACCCACGUAAGGAGGUCAAGUGGAGGCCGUUUCCAAAUCAGACCCAGUGGAGAAUAGUGGACAGCAGUGAUUACAAGGACCCAGUCUCUCUGCUGUUUUCUGUCAACAGUUCCAUCGAGAUCAACUGCUCGUCUGGGCAGCUGAUCAACAUCAGCUGUGCUGUAGGGGACGCCUUCUCACUGAAACACAUAUGCACAUGUAGUACUGUGGAUCCUCCUAACAUCAAUCCCAUCGCCAUUGUUCUGAGUUGCAUUGCGAUACUAUGUGUGUUGGCCUGUGGAUCUGUUCUAUGGUACAGGAAGUGUAAAUCACCCACACCCAAUAAUGUUUGCCUGCUGUUGACGACCUGCCUGAGCAUUCUCUCCGCCAGCCGUAUACCGUAUCCUCUCUGUGAGAUCCGAGACUUGACGCCGCCAGACCUGGUCUUUCUGCUGUGCUCUGCCUCUGUUACUGGAAUAUAUUUGUAGUUUGUCUAACGCACGUAUUGACGGCAGUUUCUGUUAAUUAUUUCAAGAAGAGGAUUUCUGUUCAUCUGGACUGUUACUCUUCCAUUAUUAAAGACAUUGCAUUAUUGCAUUUCGCUUUUGGGUCCUUUCUCACCUGCAAUAACAGGCUGGUUAGAUACUUCAGAAAAGUUUUCUGUGUUAAUGUUACUCAUAACAGUGGCACAAGUCAUGUAAGUUGAGUUAGUUGAGUUAGUCUGUUAGUUGAGUUAGUCUGGACAGUUGGCUGCAGGGGUCCUUAUAAUGCAGGUGUGUUUUUUUUUCCAGCGUUAGUGCUUGACAACUGAGCUGUUAAUGUCUAAUCUUGGUUCUAGGCUUUGCAUUUGCAUUUGGAGACUGCUGUGGGUGUAUGUAACUGCUGACAACAGCAGCAGGAUGAAUUCUGAAGUAUACAUAACUAUGUUGUACAUCAAAUAUAGAUACUUUUGUUUUUCCAGAUGUGGAUCUUAAAGAAAAUCAAGAAGUAAUACAACUGACCUCAAAUACCCCAGAUUGACAAUGGACCAUUUUAGGUGUGGAACCCAAAAUGGUAGAAGGUUAUAUUAUUGAUAUGACAUUAAAUAUCAGUUCAGCCUUCUGAUGGGACAUAAAGGGCUCAGUGAAGCUUGUUAUUUUCAAACCAAGCGUUGUUGGAAAUUAUAACUUUCCCUUCACAAUGAUAAGCUGGACUUCAGGGUUAUUUUAAUGGUGUUGAGAAAGACUGGGAGUUGUUCAAAUAUUUAAUCAAUAUGUUGAAAUCACUUCCGAAGGAAAAUGUUGGCACUAGACUAUGGCUUGCAAUUAAAAACAUUUUUGUAUUUUAUUUUGUUUUAGAAGUAGUGACCUGAAAUGCACUUUAAUAGUGUUGCACCUUUUUCACAAUUUAAAAUCUUGAUGUCCUCUUUAUAUCAAAAAUGUCAGGGAAAAAGACACAAAUGCAAAUAUAAUGUUAGAAAAGGUUAUUAUUUCUUAGCCACGCAAAUAUGCAUGCAAUGCCUUAUGUCGAACAAUCUGCCUGGGCUGACCAAGAAUGUUCUGGAUACUCUGUUGACGCCCCGGUUUGCACUUCUUCAAUACACACUCAGGGAUUGACUCUAUUCCAAUGACUCCUGUGUAACUGUAUUGGUGUAGCCACCACUGUUGAGCAGAACUGAAUCUGUCUGUCUUCAAUGUAUUUUAUAUUCCUGGUCCUGUAGUAGCGUUUAUCUUUCCUGAAAAAUGCCGUUUUUUUUAUAUCAUCUGCUUGUUGCAUUUGUUUUCCAUUAUGUUCCUAGUGCCUGAAAGAUUAAGAAGGUAAUGUUAGAUCACUCAAAACGUUCUGCACCGCUGAGAGAUCCCAAUGGGCAUCCACCUCUUUAAACACACUCGCAUACACACAGCUGUUACUCUGUUUACAAUCUACUCUAAUGCAUAGUCACUUUACACCUUUUUGGUCUCUCAUAAAAAAAAUGGUGGGUAUUGCUGGGUGUGUUCAUGUAGAGCUCACCGGCCCAACCUGGUUUUAAGAAACUGAUUGACAUGGGCUAUUUUCUCAAAGUGGGGGCAAAAGAAAGAUGCAGAAUGCUUAUUGUUUUUCUGAAAUAUUUCCAAACGUGGAGCUUAAUGUAUGUUCAUAUUUCUAUGAAAUAUUGUAUUGUUUUUCAAGAAAGAUCAUCUCCAUAAUGUAUUGUUAUUCAUAGGGGACUGUUAUUCAUGUUGAAUAAUGUAUUUCUUUUUUACAGUUUUUUGCUUGUGUAAUAAAUUGCAUUUUAAAGUGAUGUUCACCAAAUUGCAGUGUUUGUAUUGACCAGCAGAUGGCAAUCCCACACUACAGCUACAUGCUCAGCCGUCCGACUGAGACACCCGUAAACGAACACUGGUUAUUCCACUAUUAAAGUGCCAAUUUCAAACUUCUUUGUGGAAAGCGUGUUCCUACCGUAUAGAUGGAAACAGUUCUCAUCGGUUAAUCCUUGCAAUUAUAGCUUCUGGAUUUUGCGUUGCCGGUGCCGCCAGAGCCCUCUCCGUGUUGCAUUCACACUCAUGAGUUGGGCUGUCCACUCUCCGCUCCCCAAAGUAUUUCCCAUACCAGGCUGUGAAACUGCUUCUCUGGAUAAGAUGACAACUUCCCAGGCGGAAAUAUUGUUAGUGGCACAGUGCACACAUAAAACGCAUGAAUGAAUGUCCACACACUGACAACAAGUAUUGCUUUAGUGCUCUUGAUGGUGUAGCAAUAGUAUGACGAGAGGACCCGUAGCAGAAUUGAUGUCAUUUCUUAAGCCACUUUAGGAUGGUUUAAGUCUGAGACUAGUAGACUAGAUGUUGUAUUCCAGUUCCUAUAGCUACUUGCUUAAAGGCUACCACUGAGUUCCAGUCCAAUCAACACAGUACUGCCUCAUAUGUGUCCUGGUUUUCACCAAGGGAAUGGAGAACAAAUUCUGAAUGUGUUUCUUAAGUAUGUCCAGUGAUUCUUUUUGGAAUUAUUCCUUCAAGGUAUUUGUUCUCUUGUUAGCUAUGGUGGAAGGUUAUAUAAUAUAAUCUGUAUUCUUUUUGAUAUACGUUUUUCAUAUUUAAAUUGUGUAUUUCGGUUCUUUUAUGCGGCUUUGAUAAUAAUAAAACAUUUCUUGAGCUUUCAAAAUAAAUGUAUCA